CCUUCCCGUGGGAGUCCCACCAUCUUCAUCGCGCAACACGGAGAGUGGGCGGGUGGGAGAUUGAAAACCUCCUGCUGCAGGCCCCAGCAGGAGUUGGAGCUGUGCCGGCUGAGCCGCUCUGCCCUUUGCGUCAGGUGCCCUUUGAUGUGGGUCGCGGAGUCCCAGGGAAAGGGGGAACUGUUCUGCUCCCCUGGGUAUUUCCAUUGUUUCCUCGUGGUCCCUGGUGGUUGUUUAAGUUCCCAGCUGUGGUCUUAUUGUCUGAUUGAACCAGGAUAUAGUUUCUCCCCCUAGGGUCGAGGCUGGAACCUUUGCAGAGCUAACCUGAUAGCUCUCAGCGAUAGGUUUAUGCCGUGAGCCUUUUCCUCCUUGCUCCAGAAGCCCUUGGUAGGCAUUACAAGGACUAAAGGAUUUGGAAGGCAGAGGAGCCUGCCUUUGUGGACCCUGUCAUGGACUGACCACUGUUAUAAGGAGUUGAACACCUGUGCUGGAACCCAUACUUGAUUUUUCAUGGGCUGUGGGGAGUCCUGUAUCUUUCAUAUGAAAGCUUUGAAGACAUCUGAUGCGUGCUUGUGCCCCUGGAGUGAUCCCUGUGCACACCACUAGGAGUCCUUGCAGUUGGAGGCAUAAUGCCGCCUCUGGCUCUGGAGCAAGAAAAUAAAUUCCUGGGUAAAACCAAACAACUUUUCUUGGCACUGAUGAUGAAGCCGUGCACAUGGAGGAGAUUCCACAUCCAAGUAGUAGCCUUGAGCACUGCUGACCGUGAUGGUGCUCUGAUCAGGAUGUUGUCCGGGAAGGGAUACAGUGAACUCCCGGAUAGCAUUGAUGUUACAUCCUCCUCUUCCAAUGACUCUGGAAAUUACUGUUGAUGGGACAGAAACCUUCUUUGAUCUAUACAGAAGAAAAAAGUAUUAAGUCAACUGGAGAAGUUUUGAUGAUCUGAAAUAAGAAUAGGUGGAACAAGGCCAGCAAGCUUUUCCACAAUACUCCCACUUAUGUGCCUCAAUUUUGGCUUGGACGGACAGCCACAUGCUUGAAAGAGUAGUUCAGUUUCUACAUCUGCUCAAUUACUGGCUUCCUUGCUGAGUCUAUCAGGAAUUUGGUUAGUAAAAAUGAUAAAUGUGGACACGUGCCCUCACUUGUAGGACUGUCACAGAAGCUGAACCAAGGCUCUGGAACUAUUUGACUCAAGGGAUAAGUACUAAGUUCAUAAUGUUCAGGACUAAAUGCAGUACCCAACUCCAGCUUAACUUUCCUUCAGCAAGUUCCUCCAUUCCCCCUUUCUUAUACAUACUGUAUUACAGUAAAGCCUACUAUCCCUAAUUGGGUGCCAACUGCGCUGGGCACGGUAUUGUCCAACAGAGGAGACAGUCCUUGCCCCGGAGAGUUUAAAACCGAAGGCUGCUGAACAGGAUAAAACAGGCUGAUGAAACAGAAAGGGGGAAAAGGGAUUGGGAAGCUGAAGUAACAAUAAAAUGAUAAAAGAAAGUUGGGAAGGAAAGUAGAUGUCACAGCUCUAACCAAAUAACCCAGCAACAUUCUCUCUCUCUCUCUCUCUCCAAGCUAAGAAGGAAGUCCUUGGGAAGUUCUCAGAUACAUUGUGAUGUGGGCCAUAUCAAUAUUUGGAUGAAUGGCAUUAAAUUCUUGCAAACUCACAGAACUUUGCCGGUGAGGUGAGGGGAUGGGGGGGAAGAAGUGCCAUGGAGAGUGCUGUCUCCUCACUCAUGUCAUCCUCUAACACUGCACAGCCUGAACUUCAGGGAGGAGAUUUUGCAGGGAGUGUGAUGAUGGUGCAGGGAAUCAGGGAUACAGUGGAAACACUCUGUACUACCACCGCUCUACUUUUCUCAUGAUCUACUUCCUGCUGAUGCCUUAUUCCUUUUGAUACCUGAUGCCAUUUGCCCAUACCAACCUGGACCAGAGAUGAACAAUGCAAGAGAUAGAACUUUCACAGCAGGUGAGAGGCUCAAAAGAUAUUACCAAUCCCCUGAGAAGCAAUUACUUAAUAUUAUGGAAACUGGGAGGCCAUUUAUACAAGAUAAAUGGAUAGCAAUUCAAUCCAACAGCAAUUCACUUACUCAACAGCAAGUGUCAACUUCAGAUAUUUAGUUCAAGCUCAGAACAGCAUUGGAUCCCAAAAAUACCGAACAGCAUAAAAGGAAUGCUUGCUUAUAAAGCAGCAAUGGAUAAUAUAUUACUGUUUGUUUACAGUUCUUGUUUACUGCAUUUAAUCAACAUCAGGAGAACAAUCUUUCAACUAUGUUUAAGAAUGGAAGACUUUAUAUUCAUAUAACUCCAGUGAAGCUCCUAAUCAAAUGUCACAUUGGAAAUGUUAGAAUGUUAUAUUUAUUUUUAUGGAAAAGACAAACAAAGUUGCCUUCUGUAAUAAUAUUUAAAAAUGCAGUAGAACUUCACUGAUCUGAGGAAGUGUCUGGGAAACUCACUGAAAACUAGCAAGUAAUUAUUAGCAAGUUUCAUCUACUGCCAUUUUCACAACCAUUUACUGUAAUUUGUACUACUGUUACAGUAUUUGGAUUUUCAAUUUUUACCAAAAUAAAACACAUUUAUUUUGAAAAUCAUGGUAGACUUGCUUUGCCAGUCAAGCAGAUGUUCACGGUAAAUUCUACUCCAACCUUGAUUAUUCACACUUAGAACUAUUCUUUUAGCAAUACUUUUCAGUCUUACCAAAGUCUUGCUAAGAGUAGCCACACUACAACAAUGCCCUUACCUUGU